UACAGAGGGUGCGAGCGUUAAUCGGAAUUACUGGGCGUAAAGGGCGCGUAGGCGGAUUGAUAAGUUAGAUGUGAAAACUCAGAGCUUAACUUUGAGCGUGCAUUUAAGACUGUCAGACUAGAGUAGAGUAGAGGGAAGUGGAAUUUCCGGUGUAGCGGUGAAAUGCGUAGAUAUCGGAAAGAACAUCAGUGGCGAAGGCGGCUUCCUGGACUUAUACUGACGCUGAGGCGCGAAAGCAUGGGUAGCAAACAGG
rnacentral:rRNA from 1 species